GCUUACACAUGCAGUCGAGGGGUAUAGUUCUUCGGAGCUAGAGACCGGCGCACGGGUGCGUAACGCGUAUGCAAUCUACCUUUUACAGGGGGAUAGCCCAGAGAAAUUUGGAUUAAUACCUCAUAGUAUGUGAGAAUCGCAUGGUUUUCACAUUAAAGUUCCAACGGUAAAAGAUGAGCAUGCGUCCCAUUAGCUAGAUGGUAAGGUAACGGCUUACCAUGGCGACGAUGGGUAGGGGUCCUGAGAGGGAGAUCCCCCACACUGGUACUGAGACAGGAACCANACUNNUACGGGAGGCAGCAGUGAGGAAUAUUGGACAAUGGGCGCAAGCCUGAUCCAGCCAUGCCGCGUGCAGGAUGACGGUCCUAUGGAUUGUAAACUGCUUUUGUACAGGAAGAAACACUCCCUCGUGAGGGAGCUUGACGGUACUGUAAGAAUAAGGAUCGGCUAACUCCGUGCCAGCAGCCGCGGUAAUACGGAGGAUCCAAGCGUUAUCCGGAAUCAUUGGGUUUNAAAGGGUCCGUAGGCGGUUUAAUAAGCAGNGGUGAAANCCAUCGCUCAACGGUG
rnacentral:rRNA from 1 species